rnacentral:tRNA from 1 species
GUUUAAUUAGCUUAAAACUAAAGCUUAGGGCUCUUAAUCCUAUGAAGGAGACUAAAUACCCUCCAUUAAACC